AGACCUAUCGCAGAUAUACUAAAAGUUCUAUGGAAAUGAAGUCAUAAAUGGGGAAGAGAAUGUCUCGAGCCCGCCUAUUUUUUCCAGAACAAUUCAAUCCUAUCUCAAUUGACGCACGCUUGGCAAUGGUUUUGAAGUGCUAAGAAGGAAGUGGCGCUUGUGGCUUAUCCUCUGACACGGACCAACAAACAUGAGACUAACGUGUAACAGGUGAAAAGCACAAGUAUUGUUACUGAUGAGGAGAAUUCCUGCGAGAAUUCCUGCGUGGAUUCGGGAUACCGAUCCUGAAAAUCCUUUGAUGUAACGGCGACCGAGACGCAUUGAUCGAGGCCAUACUGGAUACCUACCAGUUAUCAAGUGAUUGAAGGUCUCCAGAUUGAAAUUGUCUCUACCUCUUAUGGAACAGAGUCCCUUUGUUAGAAAGAGAAGUGUUUCCUACAUACGGAUUAUAGGGACAUUUUGAUACACUAAGCAUUGGGGAGGAGCAAUAGCUUCAUGGCAAUAUUCCACAUUAUGACAACUUUGAGAAGAAAAUUAGGGGCUGACCAAUGUUACUUCUUUACGCUCUUCAAGCUUCUGAAGCUGCCAUUGAUAAUGUGGAAUUUAACUCAAAUACGAAGUCAUGCGCAUUACAUUUUUCCUUUUUAGGUGAUCACACACCUUUACUUUCAGAGAACAGGAGGAAUCGUCUCAUAUCCAGAGCUCGGGCCC
rnacentral:sRNA from 2 species